GGGGGCGUAGUUCAGUUGGUUAGAAUGCCGGCCUGUCACGCCGGAGGUCGCGGGUUCGAGUCCCGUCGCUCCCGCCA
rnacentral:tRNA from 6 species